GGCCAAUUAUGACUUCAGUUAUGGUGGGUUUACGUUAAUUCCUGUCUAUUCUCAUUCCAUUAAUUCAUUUUCUUUUUGUAGAAAAUAGUCAAUAGUAUUCUUGGUUGUUCUUUGUUGCAUAUUCGCUUGCCCAGAAAGCAAUUCCUUUUAUUAAUUCUACUAUCAGAAUUUUGCCUCUCAUUAUCUUAAAUAUUUUGAGCAAUAUCUAUCAUACAACUGGGAUUAUGUUCCCUACUUUUGUACAAUUGUGAAUCUCAAGUUUCAUGCUUGUUAGUUUUUGCCAUCAUUAGUUGUUAUGCUGUGUAAUAUUAGUGACACUUAGGGUCUGCAAUGGUCUUAUAGUUCUAAAGUAAGCUUUGUUAAUAGAUCUAGUUAAGUGCCCAUAUGUAUGGUGUUUGAUCUUGUAUGUUAAUUAGAGCUUCAAGUAGAGCAGUAGAACCAUUUGGUCCUACUUUAUCCUGUGGUUUCCUCGGUGAAUGUUUGCAGUUAUUUGUGAGCUACAAUAUCUGGUAUAUUAAGGAUUUACUCAUUCUAAAUCUUUUGGAGGAUGAUGCCCUAAAUUGGAUGGAAUGGAGGAAAAUAGCUUGUGUGGCUUA
rnacentral:misc_RNA from 1 species